rnacentral:rRNA from 1 species
CCUACGGGGGGCAGCAGUGGGGAAUCUUCCGCAAUGGGCGAAAGCCUGACGGAGCAACGCCGCGUGAUCGAAUGAAGGCCUUCGGGUUGUAAAGAUCUGUUGACAGGGACGAAUAAGCCAUGCGAAUAGUUUGGUGUAUGACGGUACCUGUUUAGAAAGCUCCGGCUAACUACGUGCCAGCAGCCGCGGUAAUACGUAGGGAGCAAGCGUUGUCCGGAAUUACUGGGCGUAAAGGGCGCGUAGGUGGGUGCUUAAGUCAGGUGUGAAAACGCUGGGCUCAACCUGGGGACUGCACUUGAAACUGGGUAUCUUGAGGGCAGGAGAGGAAAGUGGAAUGCCUAGUGUAGCGGUGAAAUGCGUAGAUAUUAGGAGGAACACCAGUGGCGAAGGCGGUCUGCUGGACAGCAACUGACGCUGAGGCGCGAAAGCGUGGGGAGCAAACAGGAUUAGAUACCCCAGUAGUC